rnacentral:rRNA from 1 species
AACGAACGCUGGCGGCAUGCCUAACACAUGCAAGUCGAACGAGACCUUCGGGUCUAGCGGCGCACGGGUGCGUAACGCGUGGGAACCUGCCUUUAGGUUCGGAAUAACUCAGAGAAAUUUGAGCUAAUACCGGAUGAUGUCUUCGGACCAAAGAUUUAUCGCCUUUAGAUGGGCCCGCGUUGGAUUAGCUAGUUGGUGGGGUAAAGGCCUACCAAGGCGACGAUCCAUAGCUGGUCUGAGAGGAUGAUCAGCCACACUGGGACUGAGACACGGCCCAGACUCCUACGGGAGGCAGCAGUGGGGAAUAUUGGACAAUGGGCGAAAGCCUGAUCCAGCAAUGCCGCGUGAGUGAUGAAGGCCUUAGGGUUGUAAAGCUCUUUUACCCGAGAUGAUAAUGACAGUAUCGGGAGAAUAAGCUCCGGCUAACUCCGUG